AGAGAAAGGGUCUCGUCCUGUUGCCCAGGCUGUAUUGCAGUGGUGCAAUCAUAGCUCACUGCAGCCUUGAACUCCUGGGCUCAAGUGAUCCUCCCACCUCAGCCUCCUGAGUAGCUAGGCCUAUAGGGUGCAUGCCACCAUGCCCAGCUAAUUUUAAAAACUGAAGUAUAUAGUCACCAUGUUAAACAAUUGAUCUCUCGAACUUAUUUCUGCUAACUGAAAUUUUGUAUCCUUGACCAAAAUCUCCUCAGUUUCACCCCCAGCCCCUGGUAACCACAAUUAUACUCUCAGCUUCUAUGAUUUCAGCUUUCUUAGAUUCUGCGUGUAAGUGGGAUCAUGCAGCAUUUGACUUUCUGCGCCUGGCUUAUUUUGCUUAACGCAGUGUCCUCCGGGUUUAUCCAUGUUGUCUCAUGACAGGAUUUCCUUCUUUUUAAAGACUGAGUAAUAUUCCAUUGUACAUGUAUACCACAUUUUGUUUAUCCAUUCAUCCACUGAGGGACAUUUUGAUUGGUUUCAUAUUUUGGCUAUUGUGAAUAAUUCUGCAAUGAACAUGGGAAUGCAGAUGUCUUUUCAACAUACUGACUCCAUUUCCUCUGGAUAUAUACCCAGUAGAAAGAUUGCUGGAUCAUAUGGUAGUUGUAUUUUUAAUAUUUUUAGAAACUUCCAUACUGUUUUCCAUAAUGACUGUACUAAUUUACAUUCCCACCAACUGUGUACAAGGGUUUCUUUUUUUCCUUUUUUGAUAAUAGCUAUUCUAACAGAUGUGAGGUCAUAUUUCCUUGUGGUUUUAAUUUGUAGUGUCUUGAUGAUUAGUGAUGUUAAACACGUUUUUAUAUACCUGUUGGCUGUUGAAUACCUGGGACUAUAGGCACACGCUACCACACCUGGCUAUUUUUUUAUUUUUGUAAAGUCGCAGUUUCUCUGUAUUGCCCAGGUUGGUCUCGAACUGCUGAGCUUAAGUGAUCCUCCUGCCUUGGCCUCCCAGAAUGCUGGGAUUACAGGUGUGGGCUACUGCUCCUGGCUGUGUCUUCAAUUUCCGUCUUCAGUGUUUUGUAAUUUUUGAUGUACCCUUCUUGGUUAAAUUUAUUUCUGAGUAUUUUUUUUUUGUAGCUAUUGUAAAUGAAAUUUUCUUUCUUUUUUUUUUUUUUCUUGAGACGGAGUUUCGCUGUUGUUGCCUAGGCUGGAGUGCAAUGGCAUGAUCUCGGCUCACUGCAACCUCCGCCUCCCAGGUUCAAAAGAUUCUCCUGCCUCAGCCUCCCGAGUAGAUGGGAUUACAGGCAUGUGUCACCACACCCAGCUAAUUUUGUAUUUUUAGUAGAGACGGAAUUUCUCCAUGUUGGUCAGGCUGGUCUUGAACUCCCGACCUCAGGUGAUCUGCCCGCCUUGGCCUCCCAAAGUACUGGGAUUACAGGCGUGAGCCACUGUGCCCGGCCCAUAAAUGAAAUUUUCUUAAUUUCUUUUUGACAUUUCAAGCAUAUUGAGUCUUUUAUGAAACAAUAUCUCAAUUUUUUUUUUUUUUUGGAGACAGUCUCACUCUGUUGCCCAGGCUGGAGAGCAGUAGUGGGAUGUCAGCUCACUGCAACCUCUGCCUCCCAGGUUCAAGUGAUUCUCCUGCCCUAGCUUCCUGAGUAGCUGAGACUACAGGUGUGUGCUACCAUGCCCAGCUAAGUUUUAUAUUUUUAGUCACGAUGGGGUUUCACCAUAUUGGCCAAGCUGGUCUUGAACUCCUGACCUCAAGUGAUCUGCCCACCUUGGCCUCCCAGAGUGCUGGGAUUAUAGGUGUGAGCCACUGCACCCAGCUUUCAAAUUCUUUUAUGUCGUCUUUAAUUUCUUUCAAUGUUGUUUUGUUUGUACAGGUUUUGCACAUGUAUGCCAUUUUUCUUGCUAAUGUAAAUGGUGUUUUAUUGUCAAUAUAUAGAAAUACUUUGCAUAUUGAUCUUGUGUUUUGUGAUAUUGCUAUAAAAACUUACUUAUUACCUUUUUUUGGGUAAAUUUCUUAGGAUUUUUAAUGUACAUGAUCAUGUCAUCUGAGAAUGUAGUUUUAUUCUUUUCUAAUCUGGGUGACCUUUAUUUCUUUUUCUGACUUCUAUGUAUCUUUGCCUUACUGCUGCUCCUUACGGGAAAACAGGCAGUUUUUCUUAGCUGUAGGUUUUUCUUAGAUGCCCUUUUUUAAGUUGGAAACAUUUCUUAUUUCUUGUUUGUUGUUCUUUGGUAACAUUAAUGGGUGUUGGAUUUGUAUCUUUCAAGGAAUUUUUGUAUUUCAACUAAGUUGUUGGGAUUUAUGCAUGUAAAGUUGUUCAUAAUGGAUUUGUUUGUUUGUUUUUUGUUGUUUUUGAGUCUAGCUCUGUCACCCAGGCUGGAGUGCAGUGGCGCGAUCUUGGCUCACUGCAACCUCCGACUCACGGGUUCAAGCGAUUCUCCUGCCUCUCCUGAGUAGCUGGGAUUAUAGGCGCACACCACCAUGCCCGGCUAAUUUUUGUAUUUUUAGUAGAGACAAGGUUUCACCAUGUUGGUCAGGCUGGUCUCAAACUCCUGACCUCGUGAUCCACCCACCUUGGCCUCCCAAAGUGCUGGGAUUACAAGCGUGAGCCACUGUGCCCGGCCCAUAAUGUUUUCUUACUAUCCUUUUAAUGUUGUAGGAUCUGUAGUAAUUUUCAUCUUUUCAGUACCGAUAUUCAUAAUUGAUAUUUUCUUUUUUUCCUGAUUGGUCUAGCUUUCAGUAUUGUUGGUCUAUUUGAAAAGCAGCUUUCGGUUUUAUUCAUUUCCUGUGUUGAUUGACUCUUGAAUUUCAUCAGUUUUACUCUUUAUUUCCUUCUUUCUAUUUACAUUGAGUUUAAUUUGCUUUUCUUGACUUGAUAUCUUUCUUUUAGACAGGGUCUUGCUCUGUUGCCCAGGCUGGAGUGCAGUGGUGCAGUGGUGGAUCCUGGGCUCAAGUGAUCCUCCCACCUCAGCUCCCAAGUAGCUGGGACUACAGGCAUGUACCAUUGUGCCUCACUAAUUUUUUUUCUUUUUUUUCUUUUUUUUUGGAUAUGGGGUCUCACUGUGUUGCCCAGGCUGGAGUGCAGUGAUGCAGUCUCAGCUCACUGCAACCUCUGCCUCCUGGGUUUAAGCAGUCCUCCCACCGUGCCCAGCUAAUGUUUUAAAAACAUUUUUUGUAGAGAUGGGGUUUUGUCAUGUUACCCAGGCUGGUCUUGAACUCCUGGGUUCAAGUAAUCCUCCUGCCUUGGCCUCCCAAAGUGCUGGGAUUACAGGCGUGAGCCACUGUUCCUGGCCUUUUUCUUUACUGUUUUUUUUUUUUUGAGAUGGUGUCUCACUUUGUCGCCCAACCUGGAGUGCAGCGGCAUGAUCUCAGCUCACUGCAGCCUCUGCCUUCCGGGUUCAAGCGAUUUUCCUGCCUCAGCCUCUCAAGUAGCUGGGAUUACAGGUGCACACCACCAUGCCCAGCUAAUUUUUAUAUUUUUAGUAGAGACGGUGUUUCGCCAUGUUGGCCACACCACUCUUGACCUCCUGACCUUAGCAUUAAAUGAUUAAUUAACUCACUGACCUCAAGUGAUCCACCCGCCUCGGCCUCCCAAAGUCCUGGGAUUACAGGCGUGAGCCACUGUGCCCAGCCUGAUACCUUCUUUUUAAGCAGCUUAAAACAACAUUUAUUUGUUAGUAUUAAAAUUUGUUAUCUGCCAGUGUCUGUGUGUCAGGAAUCUGGGCGUGGGUUACUUGGGUUUUCUGGUUCUAGAACUUUUACAAGGUGCUGGUGGGUGCUGCAGUCAUCUUCCAGGGAAGAAUCCAUGUUCGAGCUCACUUGUGUGGUUGUUGGCAGGAGUCAUCUCCUGGGCCUUUGAGCUAAAGGCCUUACUGGAAGCCACACUCAAUUUCUUGCCAUGUGCUUCUCUCCUUAGGGCAACUUGCUUCUUAUAAAUAUGUAAAAAGAGAGUGAGAGAGUAUGAGGUAAAAGUCUUUUGAAACCUAAUUUCAGAAGUGGCAUUCCGUCAUUUUUGCUGUAUUCUGUUCAGUAGAAGCGAGUCUCUAGGUGCAACCUAUACUUUAGGAGAGAGAAUUACACUUGGACAUGAAUUCUAGGAGAUGGGGAUCAUUUGGCACCACCUUAGAAGUCUGCCUACCAUGCCACAAGAGAAACUGGAUGAUCCAGGUGUAAUGCAUAUGCUUAACUUUACUAGAUGGUUCCAGAGUACUGUCUAUUAAUGUAUGAGAGUUACCAUUGUUAACAAUGUAUUGGCAACACUUGCUGUUGUGACUGGAGAUCUUUUUUAAUGUAAUCAUUUAAUGAUAUAAAUUUCCCUGUAAGCACGGCUUUAGCACUAUCUCAAAAUUUUUAUCCUGUUUUCAUUUUUAUUCAGAGAAAAUUAAAUUCCAAGAAAGUAGAAGGAAGGAAAUAAUGAGUAACUUAGACCAAAUGUACAAAUUCCUUGAAAGACAAGGAACUGUUAGAUGACCACAACUGACAUGAGUUGGAAAGUGUUCCCUUCUGUUUGAAAUAAUUUGUGUAAGAUUGGUAUUAUUUCUUUUAAAACUCUUUGAUAGAAUUCAUCAGUGUAGCUAUUUGUGAGUGUAUUUUCUUUGUUGGAAGGUUUUAAAUUAUGAAUUAAGUUUUUAAAACCAUGUUAUUCAGAUGUUCUAUUUCUUUCUUUUUUAAAAUAGUUUUUUAUUUUUAUUUUUUGAGACAGGAUUUCACCUUGUCACCCAGGCUGAAGUACAGUGGCGCUAUCAUAGCUCACUACAGCCUUGAACUGGGCUCAAGUGAUCCUCCUCCUCAGCCUCCUGAGUACAAAUUUUCUAUUUCUUUAGCUGCAUCCCACAACUUUUGAUAUGGCUGGGCUUUAAUUUUCACUUAGUUCAAAAUAUUUUGUGUUCUUCCUUGGGACUUCUCUUUUGGCCCAUGAUUUU
rnacentral:lncRNA from 1 species